rnacentral:rRNA from 1 species
UGGAUGAUGUGGAUUAAUUCGAUGCAACGCGAAAACCUUACUACCCUUGACAUGUCCGGAAUCCCGAAGAGAUUUUGGGACGUGCUCGCAAGGAGAACCGGAACACAGGUGCUGCAUGGCUGUCGUCAGCUCGUGUCGUGAGAUGUUGGGUUAAGUCCCGCAACGAGCGCAACCCUUGUCAUUAGUUGCCAUCAUUUGGUUGGGCACUCUAAUGAGACUGCCGGUGACAAACCGGAGGAAGGUGGGGAUGACGUCAAGUCCUCAUGGCCCUUAUGGGUAGGGCUUCACACGUCAUACAAUGGUCGGUACAGAGGGUUGCCAACCCGCGAGGGGGAGCUAAUCCCACAAAGCCGAUCGUAGUCCGGAUCGCAGUCUGCAACUCGACUGCGUGAAGUCGGAAUCGCUAGUAAUCGUGGAUCAGCAUGUCACGGUGAAUACGUUCCCGGGUCUU